rnacentral:miRNA from 1 species
AGUGUUCUGGGAUAGAUAGGCGA